GAAGACUGUGGUUAAAGGCUAUUCGA
rnacentral:piRNA from 1 species